AAUGAACGCUGGCGGCGCGCCUAAUACAUGCAAGUCGAGCGAGAAGACGUAGCAAUACGUUUGUAAAGCGGCGAACGGGUGAGGAAUACAUGGGUAACCUACCCUCGAGUGGGGAAUAACUAGCCGAAAGGUUAGCUAAUACCGCGUACGCUCCUUGGACUUCGGUUCAGGGAGGAAAGCGAUACCGUGGGUAUCGCGCUCUUGGAUGGGCUCAUGUCCUAUCAGCUUGUUGGGAGGUAACGGCUCACCAAGGCUUCGACGGGUAGCUGGUCUGAGAGGACGAUCAGCCACACUGGCACUGCGACACGGGCCAGACUCCUACGGGAGGCAGCAGUAAGGAAUAUUGCGCAAUGGGCGAAAGCCUGACGCAGCGACGCCGCGUGAGGGAUGACGGCCUGGU
rnacentral:rRNA from 1 species